rnacentral:rRNA from 1 species
GGCUUACUAGCACUGUAGGCUUUGCCUGCUAUCUCUUACCCAUGUCUUUUGAGUACCUUACGUUUCCUCGGCGGGUCCGCCCGCCGAUUGGACAAUUUAAACCAUUUGCAGUUGCAAUCAGCGUCUGAAAAAACUUAAUAGUUACAACUUUCAACAACGGAUCUCUUGGUUCUGGCAUCGAUGAAGAACGCAGCGAAAUGCGAUAAGUAGUGUGAAUUGCAGAAUUCAGUGAAUCAUCGAAUCUUUGAACGCACAUUGCGCCCCUUGGUAUUCCAUGGGGCAUGCCUGUUCGAGCGUCAUUUGUACCUUCAAGCUCUGCUUGGUGUUGGGUGUUUGUCUCGCCUCUGCGUGUAGACUCGCCUCAAAACAAUUGGCAGCCGGCGUAUUGAUUUCGGAGCGCAGUACAUCUCGCGCUUUGCACUCAUAACGACGACGUCCAAAAGUACAUUUUUACACUCUUGACCUCGGAUCAGGUAGGGAUACCCGCUGAACUUAAG